AAGUUUAGAUCAGGUCUAAAGUUCGGAUAUCAAAUCCGGAUGCACGAUGAUGCACCCGCUCUGAACCCAACCCACCGCCAUUUCUAUACCCCUCUCGCCCUGCGCCCCGUCACCUCUCUGGUCCCUCUCCUCUUGCUUUGAUGCUUUCUCUCUCCAUCUCGUUUCCCCCGCCUGCCCAGCCAGCGCAAACCCUAGCCCGUACUGCGAGGCUCUUGGCAGCGGAUAACUGGACCUGUCCGCAUGAAUCGGGGGAGAGAAACUGGCGGUAACUUACGUGAAUCGGGUUUGUUUAGUGGCUGCGACGGCGACGGCGGCGCAGGGAUGGACCGUAAGCGCAUUAAGGACGUGCUCGAGAAGCACCUGGAGAGGUCGUCGCCGUCCACCUCCAGGGGCGUCGUGUCCAAGGAGAGGGAGCGCCUCGCUGCCGGGAAACUGCCGGCGUCGCUUGGCAAGGCGGAGAAGGUGUCUGAUGGUGAGGAAUUUGAAACUGACAGUGAAGAUGAAGAUUCUGAUAUCAGUGGUUCUGAGAGCGAGGGCACAUCCUGGAUUUCAUGGUUCUGUACAUUGCGAGGCAAUGAAUUCUUUUGUGAGAUCGAUGAUGACUAUAUACAGGAUGAUUUUAACCUUUGUGGUCUGAGUAUGCAGGUGCCAUAUUAUGAUUAUGCACUUGAUCUCAUCUUAGACAUUGAGUCUUCUGAUGAUACAUACACUGAGGAGCGAAAAGAAUUUAUCGAGUUGUCUGCAGAGAUACUAUAUGGAUUAAUUCAUGCACGAUACAUCUUAACCAGCAAGGGUCUAGCUGCAAUGUUGGAGAAGUUCAAGAAUCGUGACUUUGGUGGAUGCCCCAGAGUGUACUGCUGUGGCCAGCCCUGUCUUCCAGCAGGUCAAUCGGAUGUUCCUAGAUCGAGCACAGUGAAGAUAUACUGUCCAAAAUGCGAAGAACUUAACUAUCCAAUAUCCAUGUACCAAGGCAGCAUUGAUGGAUCAUACUUCGGGACGACGUUCCCUCAUCUUUUCCUGAUGACCUAUCCGCACUUGAAGCCGCAGAAGCCGCCACAGCAAUACACUCCAAGAGUUUUCGGCUUCAAACAUCACAAGCCGUCAUGACAGAGCUGCACUUUCAGCAGAAACACCCUUUGCACCUAGGAUUUAGGGAGAGCACCGUGGCCUUCAAAUAUUGUUGCCUGAUCGAUGUACGAAUUCGCGACCUUGGGUCCUGCUGCAAACUGCUGUCAAAUUGACGUUGAACACUCCACUACCAUGGUUACCUCUUCGUGGCUACGUGAAAAAUUCGUGUUGACGGCUUUACUGACCGGAAGGGCCAGCAACGUCGUCGUCCUGCGGGUGCGGAGUUGCCGGCUGCGACUGGGCUGCGUGCACGUAACCACCGGCUGCAGCUGCAAGUAGUUGUCUGUCUCUUCGUCAGCCGAGUGACCCUGUCUCUUCGUUAGCCGAGUGACCCUUCUCCUUCAGCUGACCGACUCAUGGCGUGACUCGGCGAGAGCUGGCCGACUCAUGGGAUGACUCGGCGAGAGCUGACCGACUCUUGGCGUGACUCGGCGACCUUUCUCCUUCAACUUCCCUCUGCAAGAGGUUAAAUAGAGGAACACCCCUGUCACUCGGGACACGCGAGAAAACACUUUCAGAAUCACAGUCCAGCCGCCGAGUUAGGGUAUUUCCAUCUCGUGACUCUGCGCGCACAGAGAAGCGAGAGGGCACGUGCCUCCGAAGCCGGUGCCGUUCGAGACCUUGCACGGGGGAUCAGCAAUUAGGUUUUUGGGGAGCGUCUACGCGACUGCCCAAAACAUCUCCAACAUGACAAAAGAAGCUGGCCAAGGAUCUGGAUCAUCAGAGCGCAUGGGAGGGUACGAUCAGUUUAUUUACUUACUGUUUUGUGUUCUGGAGAUUAUACAUGUUUCAUAUAUUCAUCUAUGUUGUUUCAUAUGUAGGAAUGAUUUUAUCUUAUCUGUUCUGUCUUAU